AUUGAACGCUGGCGGCAGGCCUAACACAUGCAAGUCGAGCGGAUGAAGGGAGCUUGCUCCUGGAUUCAGCGGCGGACGGGUGAGUAAUGCCUAGGAAUCUGCCUGGUAGUGGGGGAUAACGUCCGGAAACGGGCGCUAAUACCGCAUACGUCCUGAGGGAGAAAGUGGGGGAUCUUCGGACCUCACGCUAUCAGAUGAGCCUAGGUCGGAUUAGCUAGUUGGUGGGGUAAAGGCCUACCAAGGCGACGAUCCGUAACUGGUCUGAGAGGAUGAUCAGUCACACUGGACCUGAGACACGGUCCAGACUCCUACGGGAGGCAGCAGUGGGGAAUAUUGGACAAUGGGCGAAAGCCUGAUCCAGCCAUGCCGCGGGGGUGAAGAAGGUCUUCGGAUUGUAAAGCACUUUAAGUUGGGAGGAAGGGCAGUAAGUUAAUACCUGGCUGUUUUGACGUUACCAACAGAAUAAGCACCGGCUAACUUCGU
rnacentral:rRNA from 1 species